rnacentral:rRNA from 2 species
UACGGGGGGGGCAAGCGUUGUUCGGAAUUACUGGGCGUAAAGGGUUCGUAGGUGGCCAACUAAGUCAGACGUGAAAUCCCUCGGCUCAACCGGGGAACUGCGUCUGAUACUGGUUGGCUUGAGUGCAGGAGAGGAACGCGGAAUUCCAGGUGUAGCGGUGAAAUGCGUAGAUAUCUGGAGGAACACCGGUGGCGAAGGCGGCGUUCUGGACUGCAACUGACACUGAGGAACGAAAGCCAGGGGAGCAAACGGG